CCUUGGCCGUUUCGCUUGACGGCCCAUUCUCACGGUGACUCGGCCGCCGUCAUAUAAUAACCUCGAAAAAAAAAAAACGGAAUGAUUUCGUCUUUUUUUUUUUUGUUAAGGUUAUUAAACAGUUGCCAGAAAAGAUGACUCCAAACGCAGUCAUUUGCAUAGCGGCUGGAAAUGAUGGCGAUUGGACUUGGGGUGGACUAGAUUUGGGAAAUCAAGGUCCGCGUCGCGGACGGGCGGCGGCCGCUAUCGCGAUAAUGCCCACUUGGGCAGACACACGAAAUGUGUGUGUUUCUCUUUCUGUUUCUUUAUCGCUAUUGCAACUAUCCCAAACGCCAAUGACAUCAGCCCACCGAGAGAACAGUACACGUAACGGCAAAUCAAUUGCCGUCUCAACAGCAAUCUACCGUUCCACCAGGAUUUAAAAAUAGACGAGGAAAGGAAAGAAGAAAAACGGAUCCCCUGUGACGCCCAGGGGGGGUGGUGAAUGAUUUUCUCCGCUAACGGCGACGACAGAGAAAUUAGCAAACGAACUGCUGGCUCUGGGUGCGCAUUACUGCACUGUUUUUCUAGCAAUGUAGGUUAGUCAGCCGUGGUGACCAGAUGGCGUUGAUCGCCCAGGACACCCAAAUGUGAAACGGCACUUUUCUUUCUUUUCUUUUUUAGCGGAAAACAUCUGCGAUCCCGCAAUUCUCUACUCUAUUCCCGACCCGACUGAUUCAAAAUAAAUAAAAAUCGAACAAGAAAGAUAAAGAACAAAUAACUGGUGACCGGCACCGGUCGAUUUUUGCACUUGCGACCAUCGACAGUAGAAGGUGGGGGUGUCUAAACGUCAGCAUCCGCUUUUGGCACAUCUCCAUUCAUUUAGAGGGCCGUUUCCUCCGGAACUGCACAAUCUCUUGUCAAUGGACCAUAAUGCGCAGCAUCCGGAAGGCGGCCUCGCCCCUGGGUGCGUAUUGUUGACAUGUAGACACACACACACGAACACACACACAAAACACACACAGAGAGGCGCACGCAUGGACACACUCAGAAAAAGAAGGGGGGGGAAUUUGUAAAAGAUUAGGACAUACCUUUCAGGUUUCAAUUAACACUACAUCAAGCGCCUAUUGUUUGUGUUUGCUAGUCACGUAGAACUGGGCCGAAAUUCCACCGAAAA